rnacentral:rRNA from 1 species
UGAGGAAUAUUGGUCAAUGGGCGCAAGCCUGAACCAGCCAUCCCGCGUGCAGGAAGACGGCGCUAUGCGUUGUAAACUGCUUUUCCAGGGGGAGAAACUUGCGCACGUGUUGCGCAAUUGACGGUACCCUGGGAAUAAGCAUCGGCUAACUCCGUGCCAGCAGCCGCGGUAAUACGGAGGAUGCGAGCGUUAUCCGGAUUCAUUGGGUUUAAAGGGUGCGUAGGCGGACUAUUAAGUCAGUGGUGAAAUCCUGCAGCUUAACUGCAGAACUGCCAUUGAUACUGAUAGCCUUGAGUUUGGUUAAGGUAGGCGGAAUGUGUAAUGUAGCGGUGAAAUGCUUAGAUAUUACACAGAACACCAAUUGCGUAGGCAGCUUACUGAGCCAACACUGACGCUGAGGCAGGAAAGCGUGGGGAUCGAACAG